GACGAACGCUGGCGGCGUGCUUAACACAUGCAAGUCGAACGGAAAGGCCCUGCUUUUGUUGGGUGCUCGAGUGGCGAACGGGUGAGUAACACGUGUGUAACCUGCCCUUGACUUUGGGAUAACUUCAGGAAACUGGGGCUAAUACCGGAUAGGAGCUCCUGCUUCAUGGUGUGGGUUGGAAAGUUUCGGCGGUUGGGGAUGGACUCGCGGCUUAUCAGCUUGUUGGUGGGGUAGUGGCUUACCAAGGCUUUGACGGGUAGCCGGCCUGAGAGGGUGACCGGCCACAUUGGGACUGAGAUACGGCCCAGAAGACAACGGGAGGCAGCAGUGGGGAAUAUUGCACAAUGGGAGGAAGCCUGAUGCAGAAACGCAGCGUGCGGGAUGACGGCCUUCGGGUUGUAAACAGCUUUCGCCUGUGAAGAAGAGUGAGUGAAGGUAAUGGGUAAAGAAGCACCGGCUAACUACGUG
rnacentral:rRNA from 1 species